rnacentral:rRNA from 1 species
GGGUAGAGCACUGUUUCGGCUAGGGGGUCAUCCCGACUUACCAACCCGAUGCAAACUACGAAUACCGAAGAAUGUUAUCACGGGAGACACACGGCGGGUGCUAACGUCCGUCGUGAAGAGGGAAACAACCCAGACCGCCAGCUAAGGUCCCAAAGUCAUGGUUAAGUGGGAAACGAUGUGGGAAGGCACAGACAGCCAGGAUGUUGGCUUAGAAGCAGCCAUCAUUUAAAGAAAGCGUAAUAGCUCACUGGUCGAGUCGGCCUGCGCGGAAGAUGUAACGGGGCUAAACCAUGCACCGAAGCUGCGGCAGCGACACUAUGUGUUGUUGGGUAGGGGAGCGUUCUGUAAGCCGUUGAAGGUGGCCUGUGAGGGUUGCUGGAGGUAUCAGAAGUGCGAAUGCUGACAUAAGUAACGAUAAAGCGGGUGAAAAGCCCGCUCGCCGGAAGACCAAGGGUUCCUGUCCAACGUUAAUCGGGGCAGGGUGAGUCGACCCCUAAGGCGAGGCCGAAAGGCGUAGUCGAUGGGAAACAGGUUAAUAUUCCUGUACUCGGUGUUACUGCGAAGGGGGGACGGAGAAGGCUAUGUUAGCCGGGCGACGGUUGUC